CACACGACCGUACCGCAAACCGACACUGGUGCGCGAGAUGAGUAUUCUAAGGCGCUUGAGAGAACUCAGGAGAAGGAACUCGGCAAAUUGACACCGUAACUUCGGAAGAAGGUGUGCCUUUAGUAGGUGAACCAUUUACUUGGGGAGCCCAAUGAGGCUGCAAAAAAUCGGUGGCUGCAACUGUUUAUUAAAAACACAGCACUCUGCUAAGACGAAAGUCGACGUAUAGGGUGUGACGCCUGCCCGGUGCUGGAAGAUUAAAUGAUGGGGUGCAAGCUCUUGAUUGAAGUCCCAGUAAACGGCGGCCGUAACGAUAACGGUCCUAAGGUAGCGAAAUUCCUUGUCGGGUAAGUUCCGACCUGCACGAAUGGCGUAAUGAUGGCCACACUGUCUCCUCCUGAGACUCAGCGAAGUUGAAAUGUUUGUGAUGAUGCAAUCUCCCCGCGGAAAGACGGAAAGACCCCAUGAACCUUUACUGUAGCUUUGUAUUGGACUUUGAACAGAUCUGUGUAGGAUAGGUGGGAGGCUUUGAAGUGUGGUCGCUAGAUCGCAUGGAGCCAACGUUGAAAUACCACCCUGGUGUGUUUGAGGUUCUAACCUAGGUCCAUUAUCUGGAUCGGGGACAGUGCAUGGUAGGCAGUUUGACUGGGGCGGUCUCCUCCCAAAGUAUAACGGAGGAGUUCGAAGGUACGCUAGGUACGGUCGGACAUCGUGCUAAUAGUGCAAUGGCAUAAGCGUGCUUAACUGCGAGACUGACAAGUCGAGCAGAUGCGAAAGCAGGACAUAGUGAUCCGGUGGUUCUGUAUGGAAGGGCCAUCGCUCAACGGAUAAAAGGUACUCUGGGGAUAACAGGCUGAUACCGCCCAAGAGUUCAUAUCGACGGCGGUGUUUGGCACCUCGAUGUCGGCUCAUCUCAUCCUGGGGCUGUAGCCGGUCCCAAGGGUAUGGCUGUUCGCCAUUUAAAGAGGUACGUGGGCUGGGUUUAAAACGUCGUGAGACAGUUUGGUCCCUAUCUUCCGUGGGCGCUGCAGAUUUGAGGAAGCCUGCUCCUAGUACGAGAGGACCGGAGUGGACGAACCUCUGGUGUAUCGGUUGUCACGCCAGUGGCAUUGCCGAGUAGCUAAGUUCGGAAGAGAUAACCGCUGAAAGCAUCUAAGCGGGAAACUCGUUUCAAGAUUAGAUCUGCCGGGGCCUUGAGCCCCCUAAAGAGUCGUUCAAGACCAGGACGUUGAUAGGUCAGGUGUGGAAGC
rnacentral:rRNA from 1 species